AUCGUGAAGCUGAUCUCCACAUUGAAGGGUUAGUUCUGAGUCGUUGUUGGUUUACCUAAAAUACUCUUUAGAAAUGGCGCUGUUACAUAUGAGCACGUUUUUCAAAGAACAUCCUUGGAGCAGUAACGUGGUUUUUAGCCUGAUUCUUGUCAUUUUAGAAAAGAUUGCUGAGAUUGACUUUGUGUGUCCUUGUAGACACGGAUAUACAAUGGCAUUUUUUAUUUUGUACCUGGUGACACCAAUGGUUGUCACUUUUGUUGCACUUUACAUUCUUUUGCCUCAUGUGGAAAAACAUUCAGAAGAUCGUUGUACAGAAUGGUGUACAAAUUGUAAAGAUUGUUGUACAGAAUUGGGUACAAAUUGUUGUUGUUGUUGUGAAGAUUGUUGUACAGAAUGGUGUACAAAUUGUAAAGAUCGUUGUACAGAAUGGUGUACAAAUUAUAAAGAUCGUUGUACAGAAUGGUGUACAAAUUAUAAAGAUCGUUGUACAGAAUGGUGUACAAAUUGUAAAGAUUGUUCUACAGAACGGUGUACAAAUUGUAAAGAUCGUUGUACAGAAUGGUGUACAAAUUGUUGUUGUAAAGAUUGUUGUACAGAAUUGUGUAAGAAGAUCUUGUGGAAGUGUUUGUGCUGCAUGCCUCCAGUUUUUGUCUGGCUUGGCCUGUUCUUCUGUGAUGGUAGAUACCUGGCUUGUUAUAUGUCUGAUUACUAUGGGGAAUAUGCUGACAGCAAUCCACAGAAUCCGUGGGAGUGGUGUAACAACAACCGAACACUGACUGGUAACCAGCGCACGGUACAGAAAUCAUUUUACAUAAUUAAGAUUAUUGUUUUUUCUAUCCUUCUUGUCAUCUCAGCUGGAGCCCUGUAUUGUGAUUGCCGUAAGGAAUGCAAAGUCCUACAAAAAAGAGGCAAUGGUCGAUUAUGAAGAGAUCAGUCAAGCCGUCAGCUCCGGAUUAACUGAACUCUCUCCAGAAAUGCUUAAGAAGUUUGUUGAUGAUCAAAUCCUAUACCUGGGUAGAGGUGCAGAAUAUCUGGAAACGGACAGACUAAAAGUAAAGAUUAGCAAAGCCAUCAGCUCCGCAUUUACUGAACUCUCCGAAGAAAAGGUUGAGAAGUUUGAUGAUGGUGAAGUCCCGUACCUGGGUAGAGGUAAAGGAUGGAAGGCACUGGCCAGUUCUGAAGAGAACAGUCAAGCCAUCAGCUCCGCUUUAACUGGACUCUCCAAAAAAAUGGUUAAGAAGUUUGAUGAUGGUCAAGUCCUGUACCUGGGUAGAGGUAAAGGAUGGAAGAGGAUGGCCAGUUUAGAAGAGAUCAAUAAACCCGCCAGCUCUGAGUUAACUGGACUAUCCUCAGAAGAGCUUAAGGAAUUGGUCGAUGGUCAAUUCCUAUACCUGCGUAAAGGUGCAGAAUGGGAGGAAAUGGACAGUUGUGAAAAGAUCAGUGAAGCCGUCAGCUCCGCAUUAACUGAACUCUCUCCAGACACGUUUAAGAAGUUGAUUGAUGGUCAAAUCCUAUACCUGCAUAAAGGUGCAAAAUGUCAGAAAACGGCCAGUUUGGAAAAGAUCAGCCAAGGUGUCAGCUCUGCAUUAACCGGACUCUCUCCAAAAAAGCUUAAAAAAUUGCUUGAUGGACUGGUUAGUGCUGGUGUGAAUACCAAGUCAGAUCU